AUGGCCCCCGCGCCCUCAAGCUCCUGCGCCACCUUGCCUCGCUCGUCCGACCCCAAGACACCACCUUGCACCGCGGUCUUCAUCCGCCAAGGACGCCACGACCCUUCUGUGGAUGCGUCAAAAACUCCUGCCGCGUCUACGAAACCGCCAAGAACGCAUACUGCAACUAUCGGUGUUUUCGAAGACCGCCAAGUACCGCUUUGUCAGACGCUCAAACGACUAUCGCACUGGAACGCCAAGUACAUGGAUAUGCCGAGUUCCCCUUCGACCGUGUACAACUGCUCACGCUAA
rnacentral:rRNA from 1 species